UGACCUCAGAUCAGGCAAGGCUACCCGCUGAAUUUAAGCAUAUUAAUAAGCGGAGGAAAAGAAACUAACAAGGAUUCCCCUAGUAAUGGCGAAUGAAGCGGGAACAGCUCAAAUUUAAAAUCUCCGUUGCUUGCAACGGCGAAUUGUAGUUUCGAGAAGCACUUUCUCGGCGGAUCCGAGGUCGUCCAAGUUGCUUGGAACAGCACGUCGUAGAGGGUGAAAACCCCGUCUGCGGCGACCUCGGCCGUUCACGAUGUGCUUCGACGAGUCGGGUUGUUUGGGAAUGCAGCCCAAAAUGGGUGGUAAACUCCAUCUAAAGCUAAAUAUUGGCACGAGACCGAUAGCGAACAAGUACCGUGAGGGAAAGAUGAAAAGUACUUUGAAAAGAGAGUUAAAAAGUACGUGAAACCGUUAUAAGGGAAACGAAUGGGGUCAGCAAUGCGUCGUGCGAGAUUCAGCCGGUGGGUGUGCCAGGCUGGCGGUUGGCGGAUCUGAAUGGACCGCUACCGUUCGGGUUGGUUUCCCGACCGUCGCACUUCUCGCAGGCGCGCGCCAAGGUCGGUUAGGGCUGGGUCUCAAAGGCGGUGGAAAGGUAGGUUUGGACUCUCGGGCCCGAACUGUUACAGUCCUCCGUUUGUCAUGGCCCGGACCUGACCGAGGAGCUUGCGGUGCAUGCCGUUCGGCUAGGGUCCCGUCUUCCCGGUCGGUCGUCGAAUGCGGUGGACUGCGUGCAGUGCGCCGCGACUGCUGCCGGUCGCGAGGGCGGUGAUUUCGUACUAUGCACCCACGACGUUGGUGGUCAUAUGGCCUCAUCCGACCCGUCUUGAAACACGGACCAAGGAGUCUAACAUGUGUGCGAGUCUUUGAGUGAUCGAAACUCCGAGGCGUAAUGAAAGUGAAGGCGACUCCGGUCGCUGAGGUGAGAGCCUUUUACAAAAAAAGGCGCAUCAUUGACCGACCUAUUCUACUCUUAGAAAGGUUUGAGUAAGAGCGCAUCUGUUGGGACCCGAAAGAUGGUGAACUAUGCCUGAAUAGGGUGAAGCCAGAGGAAACUCUGGUGGAGGCUCGUAGCGAUUCUGACGUGCAAAUCGAUCGUCAAAUUUGGGUAUAGGGGCGAAAGACUAGUCGAACUGUCUAGUAGCUGGUUCC
rnacentral:ncRNA from 1 species